CCGUCAGCAAACACAGCGGGAACGCAAGGGUGGGAUCACUGGAGCAGAGGAUUGUGGGAGCACUGGAGAACAUGGAGUCAAUCACUGGAGAUCUGGCAGGUAAGAAACCAUAGACUUGGCUGGGUGAGUAACACAUCAUAACUGCAAGACCAGACAAUGAGAGUGUGGAGUGAGCGUGAACUUUUAGGGAGCUUGAUUGCCAGUGACAGGUGAGGAGAAUCCACUGAUAGAUUUCAGGUGUGAGUGAUUAACAAGGGAGUGCAGGUGAGUGGUAAGAGGGAUGCUGGGAAAUGCCGUGCAGAGGCGGCUCAACUGGUGACUGUGACAGUGACAAAUUAUUAUUUUUUUUUUAUUAAAUUUUUGUAGAUAUGGUUUCAGUUGGUUUUGCAUUUUAUUGUAAUUUAGUAUACAUUUCAGUGUGAACAUAUUAAUUAAUCAUUAUUUAUGCGUGAAAAUGUGUACAAACGGUUAGUAAAUAAGACCCAAUGUCUAAGCGUAUGUUGUUGUCCACUGUUGAAUUUUCCUCAUAACCUCAGAGGAACAGACUUUUAAUCACUCACUCCUUCAGAGUUCUAUUUCGGGAGGCUGAAGUAAGCACAUGUGACCAUUUAUGCAGCCUGCCUCGCUAGAGAGUUUGCACACAGACUGAUAGGGGAGAGGGAACUGCAGAGAGUGCUUUUGCACAAUUGUACUCUGGCAAUUACUCACUGAAUCCCAGCUCCACAGAGACACUCACUAAACACUAUAACAAAUGGAGCAUCUAAGCCAAGAUCUGCCAGCAGAUGGAAAGAGGAAGAGAGCACUUGCUUUGUUUUUUAUUUAUGUCACUCCAGCAGUAGCAGACCAACCGUCUCUCAGAGCAGCAGGUGCUUGUGGGUGAUAAGAACUACCUGUCAACUGGUUCACUCUCACCUGUCACACUCAGACUGCUGUGGAGUGCUAGAUACAGUCAGACCGCUGCAGUGUGUGUGUGGGUGUGCACAUCGAAUGAGUAAUACAUGUAUUAAAUAAAAUGAAAGCAAAUAAUAAAAUCAUUGCUUUAAUUAAUACCUCAAUUCAGGUUCAUUAUAUUUAUUUUCAUUAGUUAUUUUCAUUAAAUUUUAGUUUCAUUAAAUAAUUAAAGAGAAAUAAAAUCUAACAUUUUUAGUUUCACAGAGUUACAAUA